rnacentral:lncRNA from 1 species
GUUACCGGCUGCUGACUGGCGACACACACCCUUGAUAGUCUAGUUCUGCAUAGUUUGGCUGCUUUCUUCAUCUUAUCCUCUCUAUUCAAUUUUCAUGGUAUGUGAGUAAAUUGUUAGUUUUGUUUUAUUAAUAACUAGUUUAAGAACCUGGGAGUUUUGCGGGUGGCUUAACACAAGCAUAUAAUAUCUACUGGUAUUAAUUAAGAGUGUUAGACAAGAAUUUUUAAAUGGUAAUUUUUUUACUCUAGUUUAAUUGUAAUUUUUUAUGUCUUAAUUGAUUUUUAUUUUAAAUUCUGUUAUUUAUUUAUAAAUGAAAAGAAAAAACUAAAUUAAAUUAAAUUAAAUUAAUUAUUGAUUAAUUGUGACAGAUGCUAUAUAAGCUUUAUCCCACUAUAAAUUAAUUAACAAUGGAGCCCUCUGUUCAAUUGGCACUGACGUAAGGUGACACCACCCAACCUAAUUUAGAGGCGCUAGUGAACCACACAAUAGUUCAAAAAUGUGGCCGCAAUUAACUAACUAAAAAUAGUUAUUUACAACUAAACUAAAUAAAAAAUAUAUGAUCUAAUAUAAUUUCAGGAAUUCAACAGGCCACCACAUCCAAUCCGCAUCCCAUAGGAUAUAUUUCGAUGAGCCUACACAACUGGUACUAUUAUAUUAGAAAACGUUUACAAAUCAUACAUCGGUUCUCACUUUGAAAAAAAUAUGGAAACAUAAAGAAUCUGGUAAGCUAAAAAAAACACUUGCCACAUGCUUAAAUUAAACAUCCAAAUCUUAUUAUAUAUAGUUCUAAGUUCUCUCACAUUAAUCUCUGCAUAUACAUAACCUACUACAUAACAAUGUUACAACCACAAAAAGUAACAAAAAAAAAUCCAACGUUCUGUAUCCUUUAUUAUGCAUUUCUUUGCACAAUAUAUUGUUCAUGAAAUGUAAAAUCCAUUAGUAGUAUGUAACUAAUUAAUACUUUAAUAGCAUCAAUUGACAUCUCCACCACUGCAAAGAAAGGUUCAUUACCACAUAUUCUAAAUCCUAACACCACAUAUUCUAAAUCCUAGCAAACCUGAACAAUAAUACCAUUAAAUCAUAUUACUAUCCAAUUAUCGAUCUUUAUAUCAAAGAUACCAUUUUUACUUCAGCCCAUGUUACAUAACAACACCGGGAACAGAGGGAUGUGACCUUGUUGUGAGAUGAUUUUUAUUUAUGAGCGUCCAUAAAACGCACUUAAAACGUGAUCACUUAGUAAGUGACCUGAGAAACCCAAACCCGAUUAAAAGAUAGACCUGAACCCAAACACAUAUAAUAAGUUCAAUGACCUGUUAGCCUUUUAUAUAAAGAAAAGGAGAAAAAUGCCCGGAUAGUCCCUGUGGUUUCGUAUUUUUUCACCUAUAGUCCCCAACUUUCUAAAACUACCUGAAUAGUCCCCAACUUUUCAUUUUUUGUUCCCGGAUAGUCCCUGGGUCUAACUUCAGUUUGUUUUCUCUGUUAAGUGGGUGUGAAAUUACAAAAAUACUCUUUCCUUUAAAAGACCAAACCACAGGGACUAUCCAGGCAUCUUCUACAUUUUUAGAGAAAAACCCAACCACCACACUUUCCGGCGAACUUUUCCGGCGAAAUUAAUUCCCGGCGACUUUAAAUCUUGAACGCGAGUUAUUCCGGCACCGCCGCCUUUCCAGUGAACUGACUUCGACCAAAACCACCACCCAUCACUGUUACAACCAUAAAAAGUAACAAAAAAGAAAAACAUCCAACAUUCUGUAUCCUUUAUUAUGCAUUUCUUUGCACAAUAUAUUGUUCAUCAAAUGUAUAACCCUUAGUAGUAUGUAACUAAUUAAUACUUUAAUAGCAUCAAUUGACAUUUCCACCACUGCAAACAAAGGUUCAUUACCACAUAUUCUAAAUCCUAACACUACAUAUUCUAAAUUCUAACACACCUGAACAAUAAUACCAUUAAAUCAUAUUACUAUCCAAUUAUCGAUCUUUAUAUCAAAGAUACCAUUUUUACUUCACAAACAAGCAUAUGUCUUCUUGGCAUGUCAAGUCUAGAGGGGGUGUAACAUUUCAGUUGCACUAUUGUGCUUAUUGUUUUUUAUAAGAUUCACCGGGGUAACCCUU